CCUGAUCCAGCCAUGCCGCGUGUGUGAAGAAGGCCCUCGGGUUGUAAAGCACUUUCAGCGAGGAAGAACGCCUAGCGGUUAAUACCCGCUAGGAAAGACAUCACUCGCAGAAGAAGCACCGGCUAACUCCGUGCCAGCAGCCGCGGUAAUACGGAGGGUGCAAGCGUUAAUCGGAAUUACUGGGCGUAAAGCGCGCGUAGGUGGCUUGAUAAGCCGGUUGUGAAAGCCCCGGGCUCAACCUGGGAACGGCAUCCGGAACUGUCAAGCUAGAGUGCAGGAGAGGAAGGUAGAAUUCCCGGUGUAGCGGUGAAAUGCGUAGAGAUCGGGAGGAAUACCAGUGGCGAAGGCGGCCUUCUGGACUGACACUGACACUGAGGUGCGAAAGCGUGGGUAGCAAACAGGAUUAGAUACCCUGGUAGUCCACGCCGUAAACGAUGUCGACCAGCCGUUGGGUGCCUAGCGCACUUUGUGGCGAAGUUAACGCGAUAAGUCGACCGCCUGGGGAGUACGGCCGCAAGGUUAAAACUCAAA
rnacentral:rRNA from 1 species